rnacentral:rRNA from 1 species
GGUGGCAAGCGUUGUCCGGAUUUAUUGGGCGUAAAGCGAGUGCAGGCGGAUCAAAAAGUCUUAAGUGAAAGCCUUCGGCUCAAACGGGGAAUUGCAUCAGAAACUGUUGAACUUGAGUGCAGAAGAGGAGAGUGGAACUCCAUGUGUAGCGGUGGAAUGCGUAGAUAUAUGGAAGAACACCAGUGGCGAAGGCGGCUCUCUGGUCUGCAACUGACGCUGAGGCUCGAAAGCAUGGGUAGCGAAC